rnacentral:ncRNA from 1 species
UUAGCUGGGGGUGCCUCCGUUUUCGGGAGCUGAGAGGAUUUUUUCCAACCCUUUGAACUUGAUGUGGUUAGUACCAACGCAGGGAAGCAAU